UUUCCCAUUUGACUACCACAUUUUCUCCUAAUAAUAGAUUUUAUUGGCUAUACUUAUGGGAUAGGUUAACAUUGACAUGACCUAAAGAGGGAGAUUUAUUUGUGUCCUCCUCCUUUAUGAAAUGGCUGAACAUAAAUAA